rnacentral:rRNA from 1 species
GAUUCUGGCUCAGAACGAACGCUGGCGGCGCGUCUUAAGCAUGCAAGUCGGACGGCAAGGGGAGCUUGCUCCCCCUAGAGUGGCGGACUGGUGAGUAACGCGUGGGUGACCUACCCUUGAGAUGGGGAUAGCCAUUAGAAAUAGUGGAUAAUACCGAAUACGCUCUUUUUGCUGUGGCGAGAAGAGGAAACAGGCUACGGCCUGGCUCGAGGAUGGGCCCGCGUCCCAUUAGCUAGUUGGUGAGGUAACGGCCCACCAAGGCGACGACGGGUAUCCGGCCUGAGAGGGUGUACGGACACAUUGGGACUGAGAUACGGCCCAAACUCCUACGGGAGGCAGCAGCUAAGAAUAUUCCGCAAUGGACGAAAGUCUGACGGAGCGACGCCGCGUGGAUGAAGAAGGCCCGAAAGGUUGUAAAAUCCUUUUGCUGAUGAAGAAUAAGUGGUGUAGGGAAUGACAUCAUGAUGACAUUAGUCGGUGAAUAAGCCCCGGCUAACUACGUGCCAGCAGCCGC